rnacentral:lncRNA from 1 species
CUCACACUCAAGUGCAUGGCCGACCACCUCAUGCAUAUCAAGCUCUCGGGGACAUCUUAUUAGUAUUACCUUCAAAAUCCUGGCUAUUCCUCUUUAGACACACACUUCCAGUUCCGAAUCAACAAAAUAAAAAGAAGUUGCCAUCUGCUCUUUUUUGAGGGAAGAGCCCAAUCAAGAAGACAAGGAGCAAGACAAGGAGCGGUGGAGAGAGUUGUCUUUGCUCCUCCUGCUGGGCACAGAAGAUAGGAUCAAUCUGGC